rnacentral:rRNA from 1 species
GUGGGGAAUCUUGCGCAAUGGGCGAAAGCCUGACGCAGCGACGCCGCGUGGGGGAAGAAGGCUUUCGGGUUGUAAACCCCUUUCAGGAAGGACGAAGCCACUCGGGUUAAUAGCCCAGAGGGUGACGGUACUUCCAGAAGAAGCCCCGGCUAACUACGUGCCAGCAGCCGCGGUAAUACGUAGGGGGCAAGCGUUGUCCGGAUUUAUUGGGCGUAAAGAGCGUGUAGGCGGUCAGGUAGGUCCGUUGUGAAAACUCGAGGCUCAACCUCGAGACGCCGAUGGAAACCAUCUGACUAGAGUCCGGAAGAGGAGAGUGGAAUUCCUGGUGUAGCGGUGAAAUGCGCAGAUAUCAGGAAGAACACCCGUGGCUAAGGCGGCUCUCUAGUACGGUACUGACGCUGAGACGCGAAAGCGUGGGGAGCGAACAGGAUUAGAUACCCUUGUAGUCC